GUUAUCAUAGGUUACGCGCGACUCCAGAGGCAAUUUGGAAUCUCGGCACGAAAUCGUCUGAUGAAAAUCUGAGGUGCCCGACGCACAACAUUUUGAACGUGCCACGGAGGAUCAAGGCAAAAAACGAGAGCAAAAAAGGUGCACGCUGAAGGCGGAAAUGAAGCAUGAUCUGGCUUGCAUCUGGUGCAUGAAGAAAUUGCUGACACGUUAGUUGCAGUCUACCUCCACCAACAGGGUGGAAAACAAAGGUCGCCAUUCCGAUUAGCUGCUAUCUCCCAGUUCAAGCACUUUUGCUGUCUGGACACUGGUUCCUGUGGAUGGG